rnacentral:rRNA from 1 species
CCUACGGGAGGCAGCAGUAGGGAAUCUUCCACAAUGGGCGAAAGCCUGAUGGAGCAACGCCGCGUGGGUGAAGAAGGUCUUCGGAUCGUAAAACCCUGUUGUUAGAGAAGAAAGUGCGUGAGAGUAACUGUUCACGUUUCGACGGUAUCUAACCAGAAAGCCACGGCUAACUACGUGCCAGCAGCCGCGGUAAUACGUAGGUGGCAAGCGUUAUCCGGAAUUAUUGGGCGUAAAGGGAACGCAGGCGGUCUUUUAAGUCUGAUGUGAAAGCCUUCGGCUUAACCGGAGUAGUGCAUUGGAAACUGGGAAACUUGAGUGCGGAAGAGGAGAGUGGAACUCCAUGUGUAGCGGUGAAAUGCGUAGAUAUAUGGAAGAACACCAGUGGCGAAAGCGGCUCUCUGGUCUGUAACUGACGCUGAGGUGCGAAAGCGUGGGUAGCAAACAGGAUUAGAUACCCGAGUAGUC